rnacentral:lncRNA from 1 species
AUUCAGCCACAUGAAACACGGUGGUGACUGAAAGGUGCCAAGGCUGUGAACAGAAAAUAUUCUCUGCAAUUACUGUUAUGACUUUCUUAUUCUUUUUUUUUCCCUCCAGGUAAGAAUGAGUAGCUCCUGCCUCUUGAAAGAAAUCUAGGCCAGGUCUUAUGACUUUCCUGACCACCUCUGAAAUAUCCCCAAAGACGCCAAUAUUUAUGCAGAGUAGGAAUGAGGUCUGGGCAGGAAUCUUAUGUCUUCUCUUCCUCAUGUUCUCUUCAUGGAAAUUGACACUAUUAUCUUCAGCUCUUCAUCCUGCAGGUCAAGUCAGAGCUUUUACUCAGCUUUCUUCCUGGCUGAAAAUCACCAAAGCAAUCAAGUAGCAUUGUCCAAUUGAUGAAUAAACAACUGGCAUCCAUGGAAGAAUCCA